AUGGAGAAGAUGGAGAUGGAGAGAGAUAAUGCAGAUGAGGCUUUGAGGAGUGCAAAGAAGAAGAAAGUCUUGGGUUUGGUAAUGAUUGCAAAAGCUUCAGGGAGCCUCCAGGAAUGUAUUUGGAUCUUUUGUUUGGACAGAGGAAGACUGGAACCUAAAAUGCGAAUUUUAUAACUUUGAUAUUUUUUGCAAAAUUUGUGGAGCUUUUCUAGGCUGUAUAUCAU